CCCAUAGAUACCUGCAUAUCAGGACCUCCCAAUACCCCUGCAACAUUCCCCAUGGCAUCAGGUGUUGCUGAACUAUCCCUGCAACUCCACUUCUGGGACAUUAAAGACAGUCACAGCUUCACAUGUCUUUCACAGCAAGCUAGCCUCCAGAGAAUCAUCAGGUUCCCUGUGGCUCCUCCUGUGGCUCUGCAAAUACUGGAGGAUCAGGUGGCCCGUGCACGCAACACUCAUCACAAUAGUGCAGAGCUGUGCAAGAUCCAUGCUUCUGUCACAGAUGGCAGACAGUGAGGAGGGACGCUCAGGUUUGUGCAGUUACAGGACCUCUCAUUUGCACUGAGAGAGCGAGAAGAGAGAUUUGCUUAAUUGUCCCUCCACAAAGCCACCAAACAACUCUCUUAAAAGAGGAGUAUGGCUGGAAGUAGUGCACAACCAGCCCCCUCUAGUUGCAGCGUGAUUUAUGGCUCUACAGCAACCCCUCUGAUUGAUUCAGGAGCAGCAUCUGUGGUAAGAUGUUCAUUGCAUUUGUAUUCUCCCUGUGUAUUGUUCCAGCUCUGUGCAGACAGCUGGCACAGCAGAUCUUGAGCGAACUGACCAAUGACCACAGGAUCUGUUAAGGGAGGAAGGCACCCAGCCAGGUUUAUUGUUGAUGAAGCACGGUACUAGUAUUCCCACAGACUCUACCGAACUACUAAUACAUGUAUGCCCGUAACAGUGGACCAGCUUAGUGAAUGGUUGGACUUUUCGUUCUUCUCUAGGAAGUGAUGGGCAGGAUCCCUUGGGAGGCUAAGAUGAGGGGGAAAGGAGUCCAGGAGAGUUGGCUGUAAUUUUAAAGCCUUAUUGAGGAAGCAGUAACAAACCAUCCUGAUAUGUGGAAAGAAUAGCAGAUAUGGCAGACAACCAGCUUGGCAUAACAGAGAAAUCUUCGGUGAGCUUAAACAGAAAAAAAGAAGCUUACAAGAAGUGGAAACU